UGGGCAAUCUGCCCUUCACUCUGGGACAAGCCCUGGAAACGGGGUCUAAUACCGGAUGAUACUUCUGCUCGCAUGGGUGGGGGUUGAAAGCUCCGGCGGUGAAGGAUGAGCCCGCGGCCUAUCAGCUUGUUGGUGAGGUAGUGGCUCACCAAGGCGACGACGGGUAGCCGGCCUGAGAGGGCGACCGGCCACACUGGGACUGAGACACGGCCCAGACUCCUACGGGAGGCAGCAGUGGGGAAUAUUGCACAAUGGGCGAAAGCCUGAUGCAGCGACGCCGCGUGAGGGAUGACGGCCUUCGGGUUGUAAACCUCUUUCAGCAGGGAAGAAGCGAAAGUGACGGUACCUGCAGAAGAAGCGCCGGCUAACUACGUGCCAGCAGCCGCGGUAAUACGUAGGGCGCAAGCGUUGUCCGGAAUUAUUGGGCGUAAAGAGCUCGUAGGCGGUCUGUCGCGUCGGAUGUGAAAGCCCGGGGCUUAACCCCGGGUCUGCAUUCGAUACGGGCAGACUAGAGUGUGGUAGGGGAGAUCGGAAUUCCUGGUGUAGCGGUGAAAUGCGCAGAUAUCAGGAGGAACACCGGUGGCGAAGGCGGAUCUCUGGGCCAUUACUGACGCUGAGGAGCGAAAGCGUGGGGAGCGAACAGGAUUAGAUACCCUGGUAGUCCACGCCG
rnacentral:rRNA from 1 species